AGGUUUUAAUCGGCUAAAAUUGAAGGAAAUGAAAAAAUAAGAAAGAAACCCUAGGUUUGGAUGAGGAUGAUCGGUGGAAAAGGAGGAGAGGUGACUAGAGAUGGUGAAACUGUGAAGGAAAUUGAACUUACGUUGACGAAUUAGGAGAUCUGUGAUGAAUUGGUGGAGAGGAGCUCUCAAGGUAUCUGUGAAAUGAAGACGCAAAUGUGCGCGUCUGAUGUGCGAGAAGAAAUGAAGCACUGAUGACGCUGACGCACGCUAACGAGGUGGCAGAAAAGGAAUGGUGCUGCGUGGAAGAGUGACGUUGUAGAGGAUAGAUUAAAUGGGAGCACAGUGAAAAAUCAAGGAAAAUGAAAAUGGAGGUUGUGUGCCUUGGAAGGUGGCUAGAGGGAGUCUUUGGACUCUCUAGCCUUGUGACUUUCAAGAGAGAAUAGUUUCUUGAAUUUAGAAAAUUCUAUUCUCAUUAAUCUCAAAAGU
rnacentral:lncRNA from 1 species